rnacentral:lncRNA from 1 species
CUGAGUCAAUGUGCAGGGGUACCAGGUAGUUGAGGUAAUAAUGAGGCUAUAAGUAGUACCAGUACUGAGUCAAUGUGCAGGGGUACCAGGUAGUUGAGGUAAUAAUGAGACUAUAAGGAGUACCAGUACUGAGUCAAUGUGCAGGGGUACCAGGUAGUUGAGGUAAUACAGUAUGUACGUGUGGGUAGGGGUACCAGGUAGUUGUAGGUAGGGGUACCAGGUAGUUGUAGGUAAUAUAAUGUAGGUAGGGGUACCAGGUAGUAGAGGCAAUAUAAUGUAGGUAGGGGUACGAGGUAGUUGUAGGUAAUAUAAUGUAGGUAGGGGUACCAGGUAGUAGAGGUAAUAUAAUGUAGGUAGGGGUACCAGGUAGUAGAGGUAAUAUAAUGUAGGUAGGGGUACCAGGUAGUUGGGGUAAUAUAAUGUAGGUAGGGGUACCAGGUAGUUGUAGGUAAUAUAAUGUAGGUAGGGGUACCAGGUAGUUGUAGGUAAUAUAAUGUAGGUAGGGGUACCAGGUAGUAGAGGUAAUAUAAUGUAGGUAGGGGUACCAGGUAGUUGUAGGUAAUAGAA